GUGACAAUCUGGUUCUCUGUCAUGUCAGUCAGCUUAAAUCCACUUGAUGCGGCCAGUUUCCUCCAAUUCAUGGUUGUGCAUCACACUGCACAGUGCUUGUGGAGAAGAACUGCAUCUACUGUGCCCCUUGUGCUAAGCCAGCUCCUUUAUAUACUGCUGUACCGGACCCAUUGAACAAUGCUUGAACCUGAUCUUUCGUGUGCUGACAACCUGCCCUCUGAUGGGGCUGUCGUACCCCAGCAGCAGAAUGGACAAACAGCAAUUUUGCACCCCGUUCCGUAUGACGGGCAGUCAUUUCCACUGAAGAGCAGGCCUGGUGUAUUUCUCUCAGGCUUCUCCUUCUACAACAAAUCCCUUUCAUUUGGAUGA
rnacentral:lncRNA from 1 species